UUGACCUCGGAUCAGGUAGGGAUACCCGCUGAACUUAAGCAUAUCAUG
rnacentral:rRNA from 1 species